UCUUUGGUGAUGAGGUCGAAUCCAGGG
rnacentral:piRNA from 1 species